CCUACGGGAGGCAGCAGUGGGGAAUAUUGGACAAUGGGCGAAAGCCUGAUCCAGCAAUGCCGCGUGAGUGAUGAAGGCCUUAGGGUUGUAAAGCUCUUUUACCAGGGAUGAUAAUGACAGUACCUGGAGAAUAAGCUCCGGCUAACUCCGUGCCAGCAGCCGCGGUAAUACGGAGGGAGCUAGCGUUGUUCGGAAUUACUGGGCGUAAAGCGUACGUAGGCGGUUAUUCAAGUCAGAGGUGAAAGCCCGGGGCUCAACCCCGGAACGGCCUUUGAAACUAGGUAGCUAGAGUCUUGGAGAGGUUAGUGGAAUUCCGAGUGUAGAGGUGAAAUUCGUAGAUAUUCGGAAGAACACCAGUGGCGAAGGCGACUAACUGGACAAGUACUGACGCUGAGGUAUGAAAGCGUGGGGAGCAAACAGGAUUAGAUACCCUGGUAGUCCACGCCGUAAACGAUGAUAACUAGCUGUUCGGGCACUUGGUGCCUGAGUGGCGCAGCUAACGCAUUAAGUUAUCCGCCUGGGGAGUACGGUCGCAAGNUUAAAACUCAAAUGAAUUGACGG
rnacentral:rRNA from 1 species